AAAGGGCCGUAUUUAUUAAAUAUCAACCAAUAUUCAUCUGGUAUUGUGGUGACUCAUAGUAACUUAAUCGGAUCGCAUGGGCUUGCCCCGCGACCAACCCUUUAAGUUUCUGCCCCAUCAUGCUUUCGAUGGUAGUGUAUUGGACUACCAUGGCUUUCACGGGUAACGGAGGAUUAGGGUUCGAUUCCGGAGAGGGAGCCUGAGAAACGGCUACCACUUCCACGGAAGGCAGCAGGCGCGUAAAUUACCCAAUCCUGAUUCAGGGAGGUAGUG
rnacentral:rRNA from 1 species